rnacentral:misc_RNA from 1 species
AUAUUUAGAUGUGGGACUUUUGACAUUCCCCUUCAAGUGGCAAUCGUUUUGAUUGACACUUGAAACUUGAAAUUCUUCUCCUAAAACCUUGAAUUGAGGCAGCGGCAAUAUCAAGAACCUUAGCACUUGAAUUGAAUUGGGCUAGACCUGCUUUGAUACCAUAUUACUGAACUGAAUUGAAUGGGCGAAGGUGAAUGAGUGAGUC